rnacentral:lncRNA from 1 species
UAGUGACACCUAACAGUAUGUAGUGGCAAUUCAGUAGAAUAAAAAGUGAUGAACCUCUAGGUGCGGUUAACGUAUGAUAUAGUCCCUCUAUCGUGAGUCUCAACUAGAUGGCAGGUUAUGGAUGAAUCAUCAAAUCUCAUCAUCGAUCAUAUGAUAGAUUCAAUCAACUCAAGUUCAUAUAUGAUUUUUAUGAAAACUUUUUUUCAUUAAUCACACUACUAUGGCCAU